UACGUAGGGCGCGAGCGUUAUCCGGAAUUAUUGGGCGUAAAGAGCUCGUAGGCGGUUUGUCACGUCUGCUGUGAAAACUGGAGGCUCAACCUCCAGCCUGCAGUGGGUACGGGCAGACUAGAGUGCGGUAGGGGAGAUUGGAAUUCCUGGUGUAGCGGUGGAAUGCGCAGAUAUCAGGAGGAACACCAAUAGCGAAGGCAGCUCGCUGGGACGGUACUGACGCUAAGGCGCGAAAGCGUGGGGAGCAAACAGGG
rnacentral:rRNA from 1 species